rnacentral:rRNA from 1 species
CACCAGGUUGAUUCUGCCUGACGUGGAUGCUAUUCUCUGGGGCUAAGCCAUGCAUGCUUGUGAACUCUUUGUGGGGGAUUAGCGGACGGCUCAGUGAUAGCACGAUGAUUUGUUUGCGGGAUGAGCAGUAGCUGCGGGAAACUGCAGAUAGUGGUCUGCCCCUGUGGGGGUUGGCAAGUAAGUUGUGGGCCUAUCAGCUGGUAGUUAGGGUAAUGGCCUAACUAGGCGCAGACGGGAUACGGGGGAUCAGGGUUUGGUUCCGGAGAGGGAGCCUGAGAGAUGGCUACUACGUCCAAGGAUGGCAGCAGGCGCGAAACUUGCCUAAUCCUUUGGGGAGGCGGUUAUGAGAAGUGAUGUGUGUGCGAGUGCAAAGGGGUCGCAUGUGAUUGGAGGGCAAGUCGGGUGCCAGCAGCCGCGGUAAUACCUGCUCCAAUAGUGUCUAUGGUGGAUGCUGCAGUUAAAAUGUCCGUAGUCUGUUGUGUAUGUCUUUGUGUGUGAUGUUUGUGGUUGUGUGUGGAUGUAGUGAUGUGUGUGGCAGAGGACGAGGGGCACUGGAUAGUUGGGCGAGAGGUGAAAUGCGAAGACCCUGACUGGACGAGCGGAAGCGAAGGCUGUGCUCUUGGACUAAUGUUGCGAUGAAGGACGAAGGCUAGAGGAUCGAAAUCGAUUAGAUACCGUUUUAGUUCUAGCAGUAAACGAUGCCGACUGGACGGGACUGUGUGUGUUGUCCAUGAGAAAUCUUGAGUAUGCGGGUUCUGGGGAUAGUAUGCUCGCAAGAGUGGAAACUUGAAGAGAUUGACGGAAGGACACCACAAGGAGUGGAGUGUGCGGCUUAAUUUGACUCAACGCGGGGCAACUUACCGGCUCUGAAGGAUGCCUGUGAGUGCAUGGCAUGAGGCAUGCGGCGGUGGUGCAUGGCCGUUUUAAAUGGAUGGCGUGAGCUUUGUCUUAAGUUGCGUAAGAUGUGAGACCCUUUGACGGUGUUCUACGGAGCAAGGAGGGGAUGGAAAAGAACAGGUCCGUUAUGCCCUGAGAUGAGGCGGGCUGCACGCGCACUACGAUAGAUGGCGCUUCUGCCUGCUGUGAGGGAUGAAGCUGUGUAAGGGGCUUCUGAACGUGGAAUUCCUAGUAAUAGCGGCUGACGAAGCUGCUUUGAAUGUGUCCCUGUCCUUUGUACACACCGCCCGUCGCUAUCUAAGAUGACGCACUGGACGAAGAUCGGAAGGUCUGAGUCCUGAGUGUUAGAUAAGAUAUAAGUCGUAACAUGGCUGCUGUUGGAGAACCAUUAGCAGGAUCAUAA